rnacentral:rRNA from 1 species
CACGAAGGGGGCUAGCGUUGUUCGGAUUUACUGGGCGUAAAGCGCACGUAGGCGGAUUGUUAAGUCAGGGGUGAAAUCCUGGAGCUCAACUCCAGAACUGCCUUUGAUACUGGCAAUCUUGAGUCCGGAAGAGGUGAGUGGAACUCCUAGUGUAGAGGUGGAAUUCGUAGAUAUUAGGAAGAACACCAGUGGCGAAGGCGGCUCACUGGUCCGGUACUGACGCUGAGGUGCGAAAGCGUGGGGAGCAAACAGG